rnacentral:rRNA from 1 species
AGCUGGGCACUCUGGGGACACUGCCACCGUAAGGUGUGAGGAAGGUGGGGAUGACGUCAAAUCAGCACGGCCCUUACGUCCGGGGCUACACACGUGUUACAAUGGCAGGUACAGAGAGACGGUCCCUUGCAAAACGGAUCAAAUCCUUAAAGCCUGUCUCAGUUCGGACUGGGGUCUGCAACCCGACCCCACGAAGCUGGAUUCGCUAGUAAUCGCGCAUCAGCCAUGGCGCGGUGAAUACGUUCCCGGGCCUUGUACACACCGCCCGUCAAGCCAUGAAAGCCGGGGGCGCCUAAAGUCCGUGACCGUAAGGAGCGGCCUAGGGCGAAACUGGUAAUUGGGGCUAAGUCGUAACAAGGUAGCCGUACCGGAAGGUGCGGCUGGAACACCUCCUUU